CACACAUGCGCAGAGCUAGGUGAAGAGGACUGGAAGUGCAGGUAAGGGUGCAGCUCUGCUGUCACCAUGGUUCUGGAAGUGCUCAGGUCACCUCGCUCCCUGUUGUUCUGACACAAAAGCAACAAGACACCGAAGGCUGCCUUGACAAAAAGAAGCUGAAAUCCUACAAAAGGGCAAAUAGCGCAAAAGGUACCAGCUCUGAAGCACAAGGACGCUGCUGCUUUAUUGGAGAUCAAUUAUUGUCUUGAUAAGAAACAACAUACCAAUCAUCCAAAAUGGAAAUGUGUAUAUACACACAGAUUAAAGAUUUCUGCAAAAUCUAAGAAGAGGAUCCACACCAGGGUGCUGAUCUUUCAGCCUACACUCCAAUACAGGCCUGGACCCAUGAUCAACUCACUCUACUCACCCUUCGCCCAUUUGCACUUCAGGCCAUCACUGUGCAUUUCUUUCACAUCUUUGUCAUUUGAAACACUGUGAUGAACAGGUCCUGCUGAAACAGCAGGCACCACAGGACAUCUACAUUUCAUCCUUGCCCCUCUGUGCAUCAGGCCCUGUGCAUACAUAAUUCUU
ensembl:lncRNA